rnacentral:lncRNA from 1 species
AUCUCUGUUGAACAGAACCAGACCCUCUGGGGCUGGUGGGACCCUAAAGGCGACGUCUGCCUUUGUUUGCAGGUGGAAGGAAGCUGGGAGAGAUGGCUGGGAAAGACUCUGAGCUGGAGAAAGGCCUCCAUGCCAUUGUGGGCAGCUUCUACAAAUACGCCAAGGGCCCGCCCGGAGCCAAGGCACAGGACCAGGCGGCUUUCCAGAAGUUGCUCAGCAAUGAGCUGAGCCAUCAGCUCACGGACCUGCAGGGCACAGAGGCGGGGAAGGACCUGUUGAAGAGGUAUGCAGACAAGAAGGUCAUCUCCUUCGAGGAAUACUGGGAGCUGGUCGCCUUUGUCUGCCAAACCAUCCAGUGUAACAAUUACAGCAAACGUGGAAGGAAGCCGGCCGAGAUGGCUGGGAAAUGCUCUGAGCUGGAGAAAGGCCUCUAUGCCAUCGUGGGCAGCUUCUACAAAUACGCUAAAGAGAAAGGCGGAGCCCAGGUGCUGGACCAGGCGGCUUUCCAGAAGUUGCUCAGCAACGAGCUGAGCCAUCAGCUCACGGUGAGACCCGNCUUUCCAGAAGUUGCUCAGCAAUGAGCUGAGCCAUCAGCUCACGGUGAGACCCGGCUACUUGCCAAUUGCUCACUGAUGGCAAAGGAGGGGUCUGGCAGUGCCCCUCAAUCC